rnacentral:tRNA from 1 species
UGGCCUAGUGGUUAAGGCUAUGAACUGCCAAUCCGGAGACGGCGGGUACGAUUCCCGU